rnacentral:misc_RNA from 1 species
GAACUGCGAUAAGUAAUGUGAAUUGCAGAAUUCAGUGAAUCAUCGAGUCUUUGAACGCACAUUACGCCCCCUGGCAUUCCGGGGGGCAUGCCUGUCCGAGCGUCAUUGCUGCCCUCAAGCCCGGCUUGUGUGUUGGGUCGUCGUCCCCCCCGGGGGACGGGCCCGAAAGGCAGCGGCGGCACCGUGUCCGGUCCUCGAGCGUAUGGGGCUUUGUCACCCGCUCGAUUAGGGCCGGCCGGGCGCCAGCCGGCGUCUCCAACCUUAUUUUUCUCAGGUUGACCUCGGAUCAGGUAGGGAUACCCGCUGAACUUAAGC